CCUACGGGGGGCUGCAGUGGGGAAUAUUGGACAAUGGGCGAAAGCCUGAUCCAGCCAUGCCGCGUGUGUGAAGAAGGCCUUCGGGUUGUAAAGCACUUUCAGUGGGGAAGAAAGCCUUGGGGCUAAUACCCUCGAGGAAGGACAUCACCCACAGAAGAAGCACCGGCUAACUCCGUGCCAGCAGCCGCGGUAAUACGGAGGGUGCGAGCGUUAAUCGGAAUUACUGGGCGUAAAGCGCGCGUAGGCGGUCUGAUAAGCCGGUUGUGAAAGCCCCGGGCUCAACCUGGGAACGGCAUCCGGAACUGUCAGGCUAGAGUGCAGGAGAGGAAGGUAGAAUUCCCGGUGUAGCGGUGAAAUGAGUAGAGAUCGGGAGGAAUACCAGUGGCGAAGGCGGCCUUCUGGACUGACACUGACGCUGAGGUGCGAAAGCGUGGGUAGCAAACAGGAUUAGAUACCCGAGUAGUC
rnacentral:rRNA from 1 species